UACGUAGGAGACAAACGUUAUCCGGAGUUACUGGGCGUAAAGGGCGCGUAGGCGGCCAUCUUUGUCAGGCGUGAAAGCCCUGGGACCUCAACCCAGGAAUUGGCGCUUGGGACGGGACGGCUUGAGUUCGGGAGAGGAGAGUGGAAGUUCCCAGUGGUAGAGGUGAAAUUCGAUAGAUAUUGGGAAGAACACCGGUGGCGAAGGCGGCUCUCUGGACCGAUACUGACGCUGAGGCG
rnacentral:rRNA from 1 species